CCUGGUUGAUUCUGCCAGUAGUCAUAUGCUUGUCUCAAAGAUUAAGCCAUGCAUGUCUAAGUAUAAGCAAUUAUACCGUGAAACUGCGAAUGGCUCAUUAAAUCAGUUAUCGUUUAUUUGAUAAUACCUUACUACUUGGAUAACCGUGGUAAUUCUAGAGCUAAUACAUGCUGAAAAUCCCGACUUCGGAAGGGAUGUGUUUAUUAGAUAAAAAACCAAUGCCCUUCGGGGCUCCUUGGUGAUUCAUAAUAACUUUACGGAUCGCAUAGCCUUGCGCUGGCGACGGUUCAUUCAAAUUUCUGCCCUAUCAACUUUCGAUGGUAAGGUAUUGGCUUACCAUGGUUUCAACGGGUAACGGGGAAUUAGGGUUCGAUUCCGGAGAGGGAGCCUGAGAAACGGCUACCACAUCCAAGGAAGGCAGCAGGCGCGCAAAUUACCCAAUCCCGAUUCGGGGAGGUAGUGACAAUAAAUACUGAUACAGGGCUCUUUUGGGUCUUGUAAUUGGAAUGAGUACAAUUUAAACCUCUUAACGAGGAACAAUUGGAGGGCAAGUCUGGUGCCAGCAGCCGCGGUAAUUCCAGCUCCAAUAGCGUAUAUUAAAGUUGUUGCAGUUAAAAAGCUCGUAGUUGAAACUUGGGUCUGGCUGGCGGGUCCGCCUCACCGCGUGCACUCGUCCGGCCGGGCCUUCCUUCUGAAGAACCUCAUGCCCUUUACUGGGCGUGUUGGGGAAUCAGGACUUUUACUUUGAAAAAAUUAGAGUGUUCAAAGCAGGCCUUUGCUCGAAUACGUUAGCAUGGAAUAAUAAAAUAGGGCGUGCGUUUCUAUUUUGUUGGUUUCUAGAGACGCCGCAAUGAUUAACAGGAACAGUCGGGGGCAUCAGUAUUCAGUUGUCAGAGGUGAAAUUCUUGGAUUUACUGAAGACUAACUACUGCGAAAGCAUUUGCCAAGGAUGUUUUCAUUAAUCAGUGAACGAAAGUUAGGGGAUCGAAGACGAUCAGAUACCGUCGUAGUCUUAACCGUAAACUAUGCCGACUAGGGAUCGGGCGAUGUUCUUUUUCUGACUCGCUCGGCACCUUACGAGAAAUCAAAGUUUUUGGGUUCUGGGGGAUUAUGGUCGCAAGGCUGAAACUUAAAGAAAUUGACGGAAGGUCACCACCAGGCGUGGAGCCUGCGGCUUAAUUUGACUCAACACGGGGAAACUCACCAGGUUCAGAUGAAAUAAGGAUUGACAGAUUGAGAGCUCUUUCUUGAUUUUUCAGGUGGUGGUGCAUGGCCGUUCUUAGUUCGUGGGUGACUUGUCUGCUUAAUUGCGAUAACGAGCGAGACCUUACUCUGCUAAAUAGCCAGGCUAGCUUUGGCUGGUCGCCGGCUUCUUAGAGAGAC
rnacentral:rRNA from 1 species